rnacentral:lncRNA from 1 species
GUACUGCAGGCUUCAGCUGACCUGGACUUUCCAGAGUGUCUCUUUUGGUGAGAGACAUUCGGUGUCCCACGUGUUGUGACCUUUUCUUACGGGAACAGCUGGAGGUUGCAAACAUGGUCGAGAAAGAACUCGCAGCUGAGACCCAUCUCAGGAGGUGCCUGUCUCCUCCAGGGCCACUCAACACAUCCAAUACUGUGACACAGGUAGGCUAGCCUCCUUCUCCUCUUUCCACCCUGUCUUUAGGAUCAUCUCCAGACAUCGAAGGGCAUCAUUAUCACGGAUAAGAACACAGAUGCUGGGGCUGGAGAGAUGGCGCAGAGGUUAAGAGCUGGCACUAAUCUUUCAGAGGACUGGAGUUUGGUUCCCAUCCCCAUGUUGGGCAGAUCAUGACGACCUGUGACUACAGCUUCAGAGGGCCUAGAACCUUCUUCUGGAGACCCUGCAUGCUCUGCCUUCAUGUGCUCCUUCCCCUAAGACACAGACGUAAGCACACAAUCAAUUUAUAACGAAAAAAAAAAAAAACACAGUCACUGGUUCUGUGUGGCUUCCCGGGGAGGAGCCUCUGGGCUUCAGUCCAUAUCUGUGAAAUGGGUUAAUGAGAACACCUUUGUCCUGGACACUGAAAAGGUCAGAAUAAUGAAGCUAGCCUGCACGGUGUCAACCUCAAGCAUUGUGGCUGUCACCACUGAUGACCAAUUGAUUACAUAGUCUCAUGGGGAAGAUCAAAGGGGCUAUCUUAGUCCACCUUUCUCACGCCACGAUGGGAGAGUCUAGUUGAUCUAAGUGAGACCGAUGUUCUGCUUGGUUUUUGAAAGACUCUCAGCGAGUGCCAGGCUGUGGUGGCAUGGAAGCCCCAGACUCCAGACUCCCAACUGGUUAUUCCUGUGUCAAGAUUAGGAAGUUGUGACCCUUUAUCUAAACAAAAUUGGGUCUGAAAGCAUCUACUAUGUCGCCAUUGUUGUUCCCAGAAACCAAGAUCAAUAAUUGUGAACUGCAGCAAAAUGCCACAAGAAAGCAGAUUCCACAAUCCCAACCACAGGCCGUGGGAGGCCCUGGCUCUCCCUGCCUAGCACAGCCAGGGCUGGGAAAAGAUACCACAGGGGCUUCCCCCUCUUCCCUCAGAUAAGGGAGAGAACGAUAACAGAUCUGCAGUCAAACCAGGAUGGCAAAUCUGCAUGUACUGCUCACACACCGUUCUGAGAUGGUUUUAUGUUUUUAAGUUCAUUCAAUUACUAGGUAACGCUUUGUAGGUAGGUUGAAUUAUUAAACCCACUUUUUUUUUUAUG